UGAGGAAUAUUGGUCAAUGGGCGCGAGCCUGAACCAGCCAAGUAGCGUGAAGGAUGAAGGUCCUACGGAUUGUAAACUUCUUUUAUAAGGGAAUAAAGUCACCCACGUGUGGGUGUUUGUAUGUACCUUAUGAAUAAGCAUCGGCUAACUCCGUGCCAGCAGCCGCGGUAAUACGGAGGAUGCGAGCGUUAUCCGGAUUUAUUGGGUUUAAAGGGAGCGUAGACGGGUCGUUAAGUCAGCUGUGAAAGUUUGGGGCUCAACCUUAAAAUUGCAGUUGAUACUGGCGUCCUUGAGUACGGUUGAGGCAGGCGGAAUUCGUGGUGUAGCGGUGAAAUGCUUAGAUAUCACGAAGAACCCCGAUUGCGAAGGCAGCCUGCUAAACCGCCACUGACAUUGAGGCUCGAAAGUGUGGGUAUCAAACAGGAUUAGAUACCCUGGUAGUCCACACGGUAAACGAUGGAUACUCGCUGUUGGCGAUAGACUGUCAGCGGCUUAGCGAAAGCGUUAAGUAUCCCACCUGAGGAGUACGCCGGCAACGGUGAAACUCAAAGGAAUUGACGGGGGCCCGCACAAGCGGAGGAACAUGUGGUUUAAUUCGAUGAUACGCGAGGAACCUUACCCGGGCUUGAAUUGCAGACGAAUUGCUUGGAAACAGGCAAGCCGCAAGGCGUCUGUGAAGGUGCUGCAUGGUUGUCGUCAGCUCGUGCCGUGAGGUGUCGGCUUAAGUGCCAUAACGAGCGCAACCCUCGUGUCCAGUUACUAGCAGGUUAUGCUGAGGACUCUGGACAGACUGCCAUCGUAAGAUGUGAGGAAGGUGGGGAUGACGUCAAAUCAGCACGGCCCUUACGUCCGGGGCUACACACGUGUUACAAUGGGGGGUACAGCAGGCAGCUACCGGGCGACCGGAUGCCAAUCCCGAAAGCCUCUCUCAGUUCGGACUGGAGUCUGCAACCCGACUCCACGAAGCUGGAUUCGCUAGUAAUCGCGCAUCAGCCACGGCGCGGUGAAUACGUUCCC
rnacentral:rRNA from 1 species